GGGUUGUGAGGUUAAGCGACUAAGCGUACACGGUGGAUGCCCUGGCAGUCAGAGGCGAUGAAGGACGUGCUAAUCUGCGAUAAGCGUCGGUGAGGUGAUAUGAACCGUUAUAACCGGCGAUUUCCGAAUGGGGAAACCCAGUGUGUUUCGACACACUAUCAUUAACUGAAUCCAUAGGUUAAUGAGGCGAACCGGGGGAACUGAAACAUCUAAGUACCCCGAGGAAAAGAAAUCAACCGAGAUUCCCCCAGUAGCGGCGAGCGAACGGGGAGGAGCCCAGAGCCUGAAUCAGUGUGUGUGUUAGUGGAAGCGUCUGGAAAGGCGCGCGAUACAGGGUGACAGCCCCGUACACAAAAAUGCACAUGCUGUGAGCUCGAUGAGUAGGGCGGGACACGUGGUAUCCUGUCUGAAUAUGGGGGGACCAUCCUCCAAGGCUAAAUACUCCUGACUGACCGAUAGUGAACCAGUACCGUGAGGGAAAGGCGAAAAGAACCCCGGCGAGGGGAGUGAAAAAGAACCUGAAACCGUGUACGUACAAGCAGUGGGAGCCUCUUAAUGGGGUGACUGCGUACCUUUUGUAUAAUGGGUCAGCGACUUAUAUUCUGUAGCAAGGUUAACCGAAUAGGGGAGCCGAAGGGAAACCGAGUCUUAACUGGGCGUUAAGUUGCAGGGUAUAGACCCGAAACCCGGUGAUCUAGCCAUGGGCAGGUUGAAGGUUGGGUAACACUAACUGGAGGACCGAACCGACUAAUGUUGAAAAAUUAGCGGAUGACUUGUGGCUGGGGGUGAAAGGCCAAUCAAACCGGGAGAUAGCUGGUUCUCCCCGAAAGCUAUUUAGGUAGCGCCUCGUGAAUUCAUCUCCGGGGGUAGAGCACUGUUUCGGCAAGGGGGUCAUCCCGACUUACCAACCCGAUGCAAACUGCGAAUACCGGAGAAUGUUAUCACGGGAGACACACGGCGGGUGCUAACGUCCGUCGUGAAGAGGGAAACAACCCAGACCGCCAGCUAAGGUCCCAAAGUCAUGGUUAAGUGGGAAACGAUGUGGGAAGGCCCAGACAGCCAGGAUGUUGGCUUAGAAGCAGCCAUCAUUUAAAGAAAGCGUAAUAGCUCACUGGUCGAGUCGGCCUGCGCGGAAGAUGUAACGGGGCUAAACCAUGCACCGAAGCUGCGGCAGCGACACUAUGUGUUGUUGGGUAGGGGAGCGUUCUGUAAGCCUGUGAAGGUGGCCUGUGAGGGUUGCUGGAGGUAUCAGAAGUGCGAAUGCUGACAUAAGUAACGAUAAAGCGGGUGAAAAGCCCGCUCGCCGGAAGACCAAGGGUUCCUGUCCAACGUUAAUCGGGGCAGGGUGAGUCGACCCCUAAGGCGAGGCCGAAAGGCGUAGUCGAUGGGAAACAGGUUAAUAUUCCUGUACUUGGUGUUACUGCGAAGGGGGGACGGAGAAGGCUAUGUUGGCCGGGCGACGGUUGUCCCGGUUUAAGCGUGUAGGCUGGUUUUCCAGGCAAAUCCGGAAAACCAAGGCUGAGGCGUGAUGACGAGGCACUACGGUGCUGAAGUGACAAAUGCCCUGCUUCCAGGAAAAGCCUCUAAGCAUCAGGUAACAUCAAAUCGUACCCCAAACCGACACAGGUGGUCAGGUAGAGAAUACCAAGGCGCUUGAGAGAACUCGGGUGAAGGAACUAGGCAAAAUGGUGCCGUAACUUCGGGAGAAGGCACGCUGAUAUGUAGGUGAAGCGACUUGCUCGUGGAGCUGAAAUCAGUCGAAGAUACCAGCUGGCUGCAACUGUUUAUUAAAAACACAGCACUGUGCAAACACGAAAGUGGACGUAUACGGUGUGACGCCUGCCCGGUGCCGGAAGGUUAAUUGAUGGGGUUAGCGGUAACGCGAAGCUCUUGAUCGAAGCCCCGGUAAACGGCGGCCGUAACUAUAACGGUCCUAAGGUAGCGAAAUUCCUUGUCGGGUAAGUUCCGACCUGCACGAAUGGCGUAAUGAUGGUCAGGCUGUCUCCACCCGAGACUCAGUGAAAUUGAACUCGCUGUGAAGAUGCAGUGUACCCGCGGCAAGACGGAAAGACCCCGUGAACCUUUACUAUAGCUUGACACUGAACAUUGAGCCUUGAUGUGUAGGAUAGGUGGGAGGCUUUGAAGUGUGGACGCCAGUCUGCAUGGAGCCGACCUUGAAAUACCACCCUUUAAUGUUUGAUGUUCUAACGUUGGCCCCUAAUCGGGGUUGCGGACAGUGUCUGGUGGGUAGUUUGACUGGGGCGGUCUCCUCCUAAAGAGUAACGGAGGAGCACGAAGGUUGGCUAAUCCUGGUCGGACAUCAGGAGGUUAGUGCAAUGGCAUAAGCCAGCUUGACUGCGAGCGUGACGGCGCGAGCAGGUGCGAAAGCAGGUCAUAGUGAUCCGGUGGUUCUGAAUGGAAGGGCCAUCGCUCAACGGAUAAAAGGUACUCCGGGGAUAACAGGCUGAUACCGCCCAAGAGUUCAUAUCGACGGCGGUGUUUGGCACCUCGAUGUCGGCUCAUCACAUCCUGGGGCUGAAGUAGGUCCCAAGGGUAUGGCUGUUCGCCAUUUAAAGUGGUACGCGAGCUGGGUUUAGAACGUCGUGAGACAGUUCGGUCCCUAUCUGCCGUGGGCGCUGGAGAACUGAGGGGGGCUGCUCCUAGUACGAGAGGACCGGAGUGGACGUAUCACUGGUGUUCGGGUUGUCAUGCCAAUGGCACUGCCCGGUAGCUAAAUGCGGAAGAGAUAAGUGCUGAAAGCAUCUAAGCACGAAACUUGCCCCGAGAUGAGUUCUCCCUGAGACUUAGAGUCUCCUGAAGGAACGUUGAAGACGACGACGUUGAUAGGCCGGGUGUGUAAGCGCAGCGAUGCGUUGAGCUAACCGGUACUAAUGAACCGUGAGGCUUAACCUUACAACGCCGAAG
rnacentral:rRNA from 1 species